rnacentral:rRNA from 1 species
UACGGAGGGUGCGAACGUUAAUCGGAAUCACUGGGCGUAAAGCGCGCGUAGGCGGUUCGUUAAGUGGGAUGUGAAAUCCCCGGGCUUAACCUGGGAACUGCAUUUGUCGACUGCACGGCUAGAGUGUGUCAGAGGGGGGUAGGAAUUCCACGUGUAGCAGUGAAAUGCGUAGAGAUGUGGAGGAACACCGAUGGCGAAGGCAGCCCCCUGGGUCAAGAUUGACGCUCAUGCACGAAAAGCGUGGGGGAGCAAACAGG